rnacentral:rRNA from 1 species
AUGGCUGUGGACCUGCAACGCCUUCGCCACAUGUUACUCACCACCGGCGACGGCGGCGGUCACCACCAGCUCUCCUCCGCCGCUGCUAUGCCAGCGAGUGGGCCUUGUUAUGGCGCUGCGGUGUCGUGCGAGCGGGGGCACCAGCCGUACGCGGACCUCUUCACGCUGCCGCCGCCGCCGACGAUGACUUCGGCCCCGUAUCAGUGUUCAGAGUUCUUGGCGAUGGACGCGGUUGAUCUGGCUAAGAAGGGCGGCAACCCCGACGGUGUUCAGGAAAUGAUCACCAAGAAGCGGAGGCGCGAGGAGCGGUCGUCGAUGCUUAGCGCGGCCGACGCUCUUGCGGCCCACGCGCAGCAGCAGACCAUCGACGUCCACCGCAUCCUGCUCAAACAUGCGCAAAAGAUGUGGACUACUCUGGCGGAGCAGAGGCAGAGCCACACGAGGCUCAUCGUGUGGACCGUGGAGGCCAGGGCGGCGAAGCGGCUCAAGGCCAAGGAUGAGGACAUUGAGCGGAUCAGGAGCAUGAACUGGGCGCUCGAGGAGCGUCUUCGGAACCUCCUCAUGGAGGCUCAGAUGUGGCGCGAUGUCGCGCAGUCCCAUGAGGCCACGGCCAACGUGCUCCGCGGCGACCUACAGCGGGCGCUCGACUCCCAGGCGGUUCGUGGCGGUGGAAGCGACGACGGUCAGGAGGACGACGCCGAGUCGUGCUGCUGGGGAGAGAAGCAGGUGCCUUUGUGCGCGGAGGAGGAGGUGGGCACGCCGGUAGUGGAGGAGCGUCACGCGACAGGAGCAGGAAGGUGCAAGGGGUGCCGCGAGGGCGCGGCCGUUGUGCUGCUGCUGCCGUGCAGGCACCUCUGCGUGUGCGCGCCGUGCGCGGCCGCGGCGCAGGCGUGCCCGGCGUGCGGAAGCGCCAAGAAUGGCAUCGUCUGCAUCAACUUUUCGUGA